GUGCUCACAUCAGCAGCAAAUGCACUAAAGUUGGAGCAAUACAGAGAAGAUUAGCAUGGCCCCUGUGCAGGGAUGACAUGCAAAUUCAUGAAUCAUUCCAUAUUUUU
ensembl:snRNA U6 U6 spliceosomal RNA